UCCUCCGUGGCGCAAUUGGCUAGCGCGUUCGACUGUUAUAAACAGAUUAUCGAGAGGUUGACAGUUCAAGCCUGUCCGGGGGAG
rnacentral:tRNA from 1 species